GUGGUAUAGCAUUUCCAGAUGUCGAUAAAAUCCAUGAAGCAUGUAUGGCGACUCAUCUUUUACAGUGGCUAGACAAGGAACAGGGAUAUAAAUCAUGGCUUACCCUAGAACAGGAGGAUAGCCCUAGAUAUAAAUUGUUCAUUCUUUUUUGGAUGGGUAUGUUAAAUUUGGGUGAACUGGAUACCAAGCAUUUUUCGAACCGUAUAUUGAUAGAUAUGAU